rnacentral:rRNA from 1 species
AGUGAAUAGAUACCCUGGUAGUCCCAGCCGUAAACGAUGCUCGCUAGGUGUCAGGCAUGGCGCGACCGUGUCUGGUGCCGCAGGGAAGCCGUGAAGCGAGCCACCUGGGAAGUACGGCCGCAAGGCUGAAACUUAAAGGAAUUGGCGGGGAGCACAACAACGGGUGGAGCCUGCGGUUUAAUUGGACUCAACGCCGGACAACUCACCGGGGGCGACAGCAAUAUGUAGGCCAAGCUGAAGACCUUGCCUGAAUCGCUGAGAGGAGGUGCAUGGCCGUCGCCAGUUCGUACUGUGAAGCAUCCUGUUAAGUCAGGCAACGAGCGAGACCCGUGCCCACUGUUACCAGCAUAUUCUCCGGAAUGAUGGGUACUCUGUGGGGACCGCCUAUGUUAAAUAGGAGGAAGGUGCGGGCCACGGUAGGUCAGUAUGCCCCGAAUCUCCCGGGCUACACGCGGGCUACAAUGGAUGGGACAAUGGGUCCCUACUCCGAAAGGAGCUGGUAAUCUCACAAACCCAUUCGUAGUUCGGAUCGA